UACAGAGGUCUCAAGCGUUGUUCGGAUUCAUUGGGCGUAAAGGGUGUGUAGGUGGCGCCGUAAGUCGGGCGUGAAAUUUCGGAGCUUAACUCCGAAACUGCAUUCGAUACUGCGGUGCUUGAGGACUGGAGAGGAGACUGGAAUUCAUGGUGUAGCAGUGAAAUGCGUAGAGAUCAUGAGGAAGACCAGUGGCGAAGGCGGGUCUCUGGACAGUUCCUGACGCUGAGGCACGAAGGCCAGGGGAGCAAACGGG
rnacentral:rRNA from 1 species